AACGAACGCUGGCGGCAUGCCUAACACAUGCAAGUCGAACGAGACCUUCGGGUCUAGUGGCGCACGGGUGCGUAACGCGUGGGAACCUGCCCUUAGGUUCGGAAGAACUCCCCGAAAGGGGUGCGAAUACCGGAGAAUGUCUUCGGACCAAAGAUUUAUCGCCUUUGGAUGGGCCCGCGUUGGAUUAGCUAGUUGGUAGGGUAAAAGCCUACCAAGGCGACGAUCCAUAGCUGGUCUGAGAGGAUGAUCAGCCACACUGGGACUGAGACACGGCCCAGACUCCUACGGGAGGCAGCAGUGGGGAAUAUUGGACAAUGGGCGAAAGCCUGAUCCAGCAAUGCCGCGUGAGUGAUGAAGGCCUUAGGGUUGUAAAGCUCUUUUACCCGGGAUGAUAAUGACAGUACCGGGAGAAUAAGCUCCGGCUAACUCCGUG
rnacentral:rRNA from 1 species